UUUUGCAUUAGGCUUGCGCGCCAUAAUGCCAUUACCCACGGCAUGCAACAGGUGCGUUUUACCGAGGCCGGUACCGCCAUA
rnacentral:antisense_RNA from 1 species